rnacentral:miRNA from 1 species
CAAGUAAAAAAGAGAAGAAAUGAAGACAAAGGCACGUGAACUCGGAAUGAGUAACGUGCCUUGACAGUUUUCUUUUCUUUUCUUUUU